AGACCGAGAAACACGCAACCCACAAACUAUUCUACGUGAACGCAGACGGCCACUGCUUCAUGCUCCUAUACAGCACUGGAAGUAGCCCAUAAACUUCUUCCUCCCCUGCACCACAAACAAGAAGAAAAGCAUACGGAUAAGGGACAAAGUAAUCUGCCUGCCAGACGAGUAUGUUUUGGUUCUUCCUGAAGGAGGAAAAAGCACCCUUUCCGUGGAACGAACGAUGAGAUAGACAGGGCCAUCACACCACACUCUCUGAUCAAUCCCAUCAAUGCAUGGGAUACCGGAGCCAAUCGCUUUGCCACCCCCCACCUGCUGCUUCAUCUCUCCGUCAGCUUCUCCACCACGCGCAAAUGGGCCACCGUCCCACUACGGCCGAAGGCCUCGCCCACUUCCAUGAUUCCAGGUCUGGAAAUGGCCGAUGACUGCUACUAGCUACAUUGCAUGGUUUUCAAGUCUCACAUUCCUCUCCCACGAUUUCAUUCCACUCCCAACAAAAAUCUCUAUUUUGUGCAGGCCACGGAUUUAAUACGCAGCCGUGUUCUUCAAGCUAAGUUUCAUGGCUAUUUCUGAAAUGUGAAUCUAUCGAUAUUUUCUACGGAGAAUUAAGUGAUUACUUCCAACAUUUUUCUCCCAAAAAAAUGAAAAGUAAAAAAGGAAAAGUAAAGAGGGAGAUCGAAAGUACGGUGGGUGAGCCGUGGUGGUGGUGGAUGGGGCGGCGUAGGUCGGGCUCGGGAAGGCUGUGGCGUGGCGCCUCCUGCUCCUCCUUGUUGGUGGUGCCGGAUCGGAGCUCGUCGUCGUUUCCGAGGCUGGCGCGGGAGGUGUUCUUGUUCUGCUUCCGCAUCUCCCGGAUCUUGGUGAAGUCCAUGGAG